rnacentral:rRNA from 1 species
AAUAAACGCUGGCGGCGUGCCUAACACAUGCAAGUCGAGCGAGAAAGUUCCUUCGGGAAUGAGUAAAGCGGCGAACGGGUGAGUAACGCGUGAGAAUCUACCUUUUAGUGGAGAAUAACACCGAGAAAUCGAUGUCAAUACUGCAUAAGUCCCUGCGGGGAGAAAGAUGGCCUCUUGCUAUCGCUAGAAGAUGAGCUUGCGUACUAUUAGCUAGUUGGUGAGGUAAUGGCUCACCAAGGCGAUGAUGGUUAACCGGCCUGAGAGGGUGUACGGUCACACUGGAACUUAGACACGGUCCAGACUCCUACGGGAGGCAGCAGUGAGGAAUAUUGCGCAAUGGGCGAAAGCCUGACGCAGCGACGCCGCGUGGAGGAUGAAGGUCUUCGGAUUGUAAACUCCUGUUAAGUGGGAAGAAAUACCAACUUUUAAUACAAGUUGGGGAUGACGGUACCACUAGAGAAAGCACCGGCUAACUUCGUGCCAGCAGCCGCGGUAAUACGAGGGGUGCAAGCGUUAUUCGGAAUGAUUGGGCGUAAAGGGUGUGUAGACGGCUUUUUAAGUCACCUGUUAAAUUCUUCGGCCUAACUGAAGGUAUGCAGGUGAAACUGAUCAGCUUGAGGAUGGAAGAGAGAAGUGGAAUUCUCGGAGUAGCGGUAAAAUGCGUAGAUCUCGAGAGGAACACCGAUGGCGAAGGCAGCUUCUUGGUCCAUUCCUGACGUUGAAACACGAAAGCGUGGGGAGCAAACAGGAUUAGAUACCCUGGUAGUCCAUGCUGUAAACGAUGAUCACUAGACGUUAGUCCUGUUUACAGGAUUAGUGUCGCAGCUAACGCGUUAAGUGAUCCGCCUGGGGAUUACGGCCGCAAGACUAAAACUCAAAGAAAUUGACGGGGGCCCGCACAAGCGGUGGAACAUGUGGUUUAAUUCGACACUACGCGAGGAACCUUACCUAGGCUUGACAUGUAUUUGACAGUUGUAGAAAUACAAUCUUUCGGAUUUCGGUUCGGACAGAUACACAGGUGCUGCAUGGCUGUCGUCAGCUCGUGUCGUGAGAUGUUGGGUUAAGUCCUCUAACGAGCGCAACCCUUGCUAUUAGUUGCUAUUUACGUGAGUAAAGCACUCUAAUGGGACUGCCUGGGAAACCAGGAGGAAGGUGGGGACGACGUCAAGUCAUCAUGGUCCUUAUGUCUAGGGCUACACACGUGUUACAAUGGUCGGUACAAAGGGCUGCAAACUCGCGAGAGUAAGCCAAUCCCUAAAGCCGAUCUAAGUUCAGAUUGGAGUCUGCAACUCGACUCCAUGAAGUUGAAAUCGCUAGUAAUCGCGUAUCAGCAACGACGCGGUGAGUACGUUCUCGGGCCUUGUACACACCGCCCGUCACACCAUGAGAGCUGUUUGUACCCAAAGCCAUUUUAGCUAACCCGUAAGGGAUGCGGAUGUUUAAGGUAUGGAUAGUGAUUGGGGUG